GGAUGGCAGUAUCAAAUGUAUGUGAACCGGAUAAUAUUUACUCAACAAGUUAACACCACCAUUUUAGAGCACUUGGUAGGGUCCAAUGUCCUCUGAAGCCCAAUGAGCGAGAGAAGCUGAAGGCAAAGGCUAGGAAACAAUGGUGAACUUUGCUGCCCUGAUGCGUGACCAUUGGGUGAACAUAUUUGUCCCCCUCGGCUUUGUGAUCGGGAUCUACAUGGACAGCGCACAGGACCAGAAGCUGACUGCUUUCAGGAACAAAAGUGCAUUGUACAGCAGGGAGCUGAAGCCAGGUGAGGAAGUCACCUGGAAGUAGACCCACCCGUCACCUGGAAUAUUUGUGCCCCAAGUCACAUCUCCUAUUGUCUGGAUGGUUUUCAAAUCAAGUACGCCAAUAAGAAGUUUCUGUCACUGUAUCGACUAAUAAACAUGUCCCUUUGUCA